rnacentral:rRNA from 1 species
UACGUAGGGACCAAGCGUUGUUCGGAUUUACUGGGCGUAAAGGGUGCGUAGGCGGCGCGGUAAGUCGGGUGUGAAAUCUCGGGGCUUAACUCCGAAACUGCAUUCGAUACUGCCGUGCUUGAGGACUGGAGAGGAGACUGGAAUUUACGGUGUAGCGGUGAAAUGCGUAGAUAUCGUAAGGAAGACCAGUGGCGAAGGCGGGUCUCUGGACAGUUCCUGACGCUGAGGCACGAAGGUCAGGGGAGCAAACGGG